rnacentral:rRNA from 1 species
AUACGUAGGUGGCAAGCGUUGUCCGGAUUUACUGGGUGUAAAGGGCGUGUAGGCGGAGGAUCAAGUCAGAAGUGAAAUCUCAGGGCUCAACCCUGAAACUGCUUUUGAAACUGAUCCCCUUGAGUAUCGGAGAGGCAGGCGGAAUUCCUAGUGUAGCGGUGAAAUGCGUAGAUAUUAGGAGGAACACCAGUGGCGAAGGCGGCCUGCUGGACGACAACUGACGCUGAGGCGCGAAAGCGUGGGGAGC